rnacentral:misc_RNA from 1 species
GUUCUCAUCCAAUAAGAUAUUUGUCGACUUCACAUCACGAUGGACGAUUGCAUGCUUCGCUCCUGAAUGAAGGUAAUGCAGCCCGCGUGCUGCACCGAGGCAGAUCUCUAGCCUUUUUUUCCAUGGUAGAGGAGGAUUACUGGUGUUGUAGAGAUGGUCACGGAGGGUACCGUGGGUCAUAUAAUCAUACACUAGGAUCAUUUCGUGAUCUUCGUGGCAAUAACCGAUUAGAGAGACCAAGUGACGGUGUCGAAGCUGAGAAAGCAUCUCUAUCUCUGUCUUGAACUCGUUUGCUCCUUGUUCCGAACCUUGGCUUAACCGUUUCACCGCAACAGCAGUGGGAUCAUCGUUAAUGGUUCCUCUGUAUACAUUGCCAAACCC